rnacentral:rRNA from 1 species
GAUGAACGCUAGCUACAGGGCUUAACACAUGCAAGUCGAGGGGAAACGACAGUAAAGCUUGCUUUAUUGGGCGUCGACCGGCGCACGGGUGCGUAACGCGUAUCCAACCUGCCCCCCAACUCCGGAAUAGUCCCCCCGAAAGGGGGGGUUAACGCCGGAUGCUGCAAUUUUUCCGCAUGGUGAAAUUGCGAAAUGAAAAAGGUUGGGGCUGGGGAUGCGUCCCAUUAGGUAGUAGGCGGGGUAACGGCCCACCUAGCCGACGAUGGGUAGGGGUUCUGAGAGGAAGGUCCCCCACAUUGGAACUGAGACACGGUCCAAACUCCUACGGGAGGCAGCAGUGAGGAAUAUUGGUCAAUGGACGUAAGUCUGAACCAGCCAAGUAGCGUGCAGGAUGACGGCCCUAUGGGUUGUAAACUGCUUUUAUGCGGGGAUAAAGUGAGGGACGCGUCCCUUUUUGCAGGUACCGCAUGAAUAAGGACCGGCUAAUUCCGUG